UACAGGGGGCGAGCGUUGUCCGGAUUUAUUGGGCGUAAAGAGCUCGUAGGCGGCUCGGUAAGUCGGGUGUGAAACCUCCAGGCUCAACCUGGAGACGCCACCCGAUACUACCGUGGCUAGAGUCCGGUAGAGGAGCGUAGAAUUCCUGGUGUAGCGGCGAAAUGCGCAGAUAUCAGGAGGAAUACCAGCGGCGAAGGCGGCGCUCUGGGCCGGUACUGACGCUGAGGAGCGAAAGCGUGGGGAGCAAACAGG
rnacentral:rRNA from 1 species